rnacentral:rRNA from 1 species
UAGCGUAGGGGGCAAGCGUUGUCCGGAAUCAUUGGGCGUAAAGCGCGUGUAGGCGGUCCGGUAAGUCCGCUGUGAAAGUCGGGGGCUCAACCUCGGAAUGCCGGGUGGAUACUGUCGGGGCUUGAGUACGGGAAGGAGGCGAGUGGAAUUCCUGGUGUAGCGGGUGAAAGUGCGCAGAUAUCAGGAGGAACACCCAAGUUG